GUUGACACAGGAACAGCAAUAAUGUGCAGUGAUCAACUGGGAAUGACUUAACUGUUAUGGAGGAGGAAAGGGUCCAGGACAGCUCCAAGGAAACAGUGAGGAAAAAGACCAUUGACUGCCAGAGAAAGAUCCGAUGGAGUAGGAAUGCACAUUGAAGCAGACCAUGCUUCACUUUCUUUCCUCCAUGAGUUUCUUCUUGGAUGUGUGAUACAGGCCUUCUUUUACACCAUGGUGAAUAUGGAAAUAGUUCCACCUCUAGUUAUGCAGCCAUUAUUGAAGACUGAAAUUGCUGUGGAAAAGGGAUUCACCUUCCUUACCACCACCACCAACUGACCAUCUGCCACUGACUGUUCUUUCUCUGGAUGUGGAUAGCGUUCUUUCUCAUACGUCCCUCAGAAUUGUCCUGAAUCAUUGCAUUGCUGCUGGUAGAGAAUUACAUUCGAUUGUACUACAGUGUAUCAGUCUCUGUGUAUAAGGUUCUCCUGGUUCUGCUCCUUUUGCUCUGCAUCAAUUCCUGGAAGUCAUUCCAGUUCCCAUGGAAUUCCUCCAAUUCUUUAUUCCUUUGAGCACAAUAGUAUUCCAUCACCAACAGAUACCACAAAUUUGUUCAGCAGUUUGUAAGAGAGAAAUGCAAGGAGCAGCUCAUGAAUGGGAGGUGCAAAAAGAGAAAAAAAAAAC
rnacentral:lncRNA from 1 species